rnacentral:rRNA from 1 species
AUUGAACGCUGGCGGCAUGCCUUACACAUGCAAGUCGAACGGCAGCGGACCUUCGGGUGCCGGCGAGUGGCGAACGGGUGAGUAAUAUAUCGGAACGUACCUUUCAGUGGGGGAUAACGUAGCGAAAGUUACGCUAAUACCGCAUAUUCUGUGAGCAGGAAAGCAGGGGAUCGCAAGACCUUGCGCUGAUUGAGCGGCCGAUAUCAGAUUAGCUAGUUGGUGAGGUAAAGGCUCACCAAGGCGACGAUCUGCAGCGGGUCUGAGAGGAUGAUCCGCCACACUGGAACUGAGACACGGUCCAGACUCCUACGGGAGGCAGCAGUGGGGAAUUUUGGACAAUGGGCGCAAGCCUGAUCCAGCCAUGCCGCGUGAGUGAAGAAGGCCUGGUU